rnacentral:misc_RNA from 1 species
GAUCUAUCAAAUCUUUAUUUUGCAAAAAAAAAAAAAAGAGGAAACAUGAACAAAAAUUUUCCUACAAACAAUUUAGAAAGAAUUUCAAACAAGGAAUUGAAUUUUAACAUGCUUAUUUUAAAAAUGAGGGUAAUUUGGUCAUUUGAAUUUAACUUUAUUACUAAGAAAAAACAUAAUUGACUUGAAGAUAUGAUCCCAAAACAAAAUUUCCCACCCCUCUUCUUGUGCUCACCAUUUCAUUCAAAUGCUGUUUGGCUCCUAUUUUUUGCUGUCAACCUAAUACCUUAAAAUACCCCUUGUUUGUGCUAUUUUUGUCAGAAAUUUAGGAAGAUUAUUGUGAUCAUCCUUGAACCCCAAACUAAUAGGAGAGAGGCACUUUAAGUGCUUAUUUCAAUCUUUCAAAAUUAUAGGAUUCUUUUAUACUAAUAUUGUUGUGAAAAAUAAACUCGAUAUGACAAACAGAACACAAUGUUUAGGUGGUUUGGUAAUUAGCUACUCCACAAAUCAAUUCAUUAUUAUGGGAAAAAUAAUACAACCACUAAUCAACCUUACACACUCACAAACCCUUUAACUCAAUACCCCCAAUGAUAUUUACCCUCUCAAACUACUAACUAGUGCUCUCUCUAGCCCUCUCACACAUUCAAGCUGAGAGAACUUCACUUGCACACGCUAGCUUUGCUUUCCAUGAGACUUGGCUAUUUAUAGCUGUGUGGAGCUUGAUCCCCAAGCAAAUGUGGAGUGGGCACCAAGUAUUACUGUAGAAUGCUUGGUCCCAACUCAAAGUAAGCUUCCUAAGAAGCUUCAAGUUUUGCAUUGCAUUUUUAUUCUUCUUCUUAAUGUUAGGAUUAUGGGCUGGAUCAUAACAAAUACCUUAACUUCUUGAAUCUUAAAUCAAUUGGACAAUAGGUGACUUAGGUGUUUUUUAUAUUCCUAGAUUUUAUAUUUUAGAAGCAAAGUCAAUGAAUAAAAGAGGUCCAUAGAUUUUAAAUCUAAAUGACUAUUCAUGUCUUAGUCGAGUAGAUUAGAAUUAUCUUCUCUUUGAGAAAAAGAAAAUCAUCUUUUGCAGUAACUAUAGUAAUUUUCUUUAUCUUUGCCAUAAAAAAGUAAGAUCGCAACUGUUUGUCCUUUAAAAACAUAUCAUUAAGAACUUCUCCACUUUGAAGAUUCUAGCCUGCUAUACAUUCCUCAAGAUAUUCGAGGUUUAAGUUUCUCACAUUGAAGAUGUUUUUGUACUUUGAAAAUUUGAUGCAUGCAGGAUCUCUUCAUUAGCUCAACAGUUUAGGUUCCUCAAGACAAGUGCUUGAGUGCAAAGGAUUGUUGUCCUGUUGCUUUGGAUGGGUCAAGACUCAGGGAGAGAGGUGGCUUCCCCUCGAUGUGUAUCCUCAGGCCUCCAAGGGACCAAAUAAAAAAAUGAUGGGUAUUUAUGCACUAAUAAAAAUUUUGCAGCCAUAUCUGGACUCUUUGAGUAAUGUCAAAAUCUUAUUGCAAAGUCAACAUUCACUAUAACAAUCAAUUAAUAGAUAACUAAUGGAUGCUCUAGAAUGCAAGUUAAUAUCUAAACUACAUGAUACAAAACAUAUUUGGAUAGGCAGAAUAGAGAUUUUAACUUAAGAAAAAUCCCAAGGAGUUCUUCAUUUUUCCCAAAUUCUAAAAUGUUCGCACCAAUAUGGUACAUCGGUCAAAAAAUUCAGCACAAAGAAACUUGUUUUCAAGCUAGACAACUUAGACUAUAAAAGGAACAAACCUGACUAUUUCUAUUUUGACAACGCCUCAUCAGGCUUUGCAGAUGGAUCUUGCAACCCACAGACCAUGUUUGCAGGAACAGCUAUGUCAAUCAUCUUUGGAUAUGGAAGGUUUAGAUCUGCAAAAUACAGAUCAAGCAUAAAAUUCACCCUUGAAUAGCUGUACAAUGAGCAGCAGUGUUAAAUAGAUACCAAGUAUAGAUGUCACUUACUUGCCAUAAUACUCUUAAACUCUUCCUGAAAAGUAUAUCAAUUUUCACACCAAUUAGAGAUAAUGGUGAGAAGUAUUCAUGUAAAGAAAAACAGACAGAAAUAUGGAUAAUUUCAAAUUUCACUAUUGUGCUUAAUUCUGCCAAAAUUAAUAAUAAUCAAUCAAGAGGCAAACAAAGCUAGUGAAUCACGCAAAUUUUGUAGGUACAUGCAAGUUUGUCAUGGUAACAACAGUAUAAAUUGCACUGAUACACUCAUAAUACAAUUGAUAAUAAUAAGGUAUAAAGUGAAAUCUCCCUAUACAAAAGAAAAUAAAAAAGACAUAAAAUGAAACAAGAGGCCUUAAGGAUCACCUCGUCUUUGGUAAGCCUGGGGUUAUAUAGCAUUUCCUCUCCAACGGUACUAACCUGCAACUCACACAAAGGUUUAGCAUGAUCAUGAAAAAGUAAAUAAUCUAAUAAGAGAUAAGAAAUGAUUUCGUACAGUGAAUCCCUUGUAAUCAUGAGCAGGAUAGAGCAAAGUUUCCUUUGGCAAGGUGAAUAUCUGUGAAUGCACUGACUGAUAGAGUUGUUGUGAACUUCCACCCUGAAAAUCAGUUCUUCCACAUCCCCGUAUUAGUAAAGCAUCCCCAGUGAAAGCCAUUCUUGGCUGGGGUUGAUCAGGCGCAUCUCCAGUAACAUAAGUAACACAACCUAAAGUAUGGCCAGGAGUAGCUCGAACCUCCAGAAAUAAAUCACCAAAAUGUAUCUUAUCGCCAGCUUCAAUAAGAACAUCAGCUUUUGAUUUGCUUGCUUUUGAAAUGAUAGAUUUGACACCAGGAACCCUCGUCUUUACCAAGCCAGUUCCUGUUAUAUGAUCAGCAUGUACAUGGGUGUUCAUGGCAUAAAUUAGCUUCAGCCCUAGUUCUUUCACAAGGGUGAGGUCUCUGUCUACUGUCCUGUCAACCGGGUCAAUCAACAGAGCAGGCUUAUCAGGGUGAUCGACGUCGGCGAGCAAAUAGGUAUAGGUAGAGGAUUCCUUCUCGAAAAGCUGGCGAAACAAGAGCUUGUUUGAGUACCAAGAAGAAGAAGAAGAAGAGAACGACGCCGUAUGGUUCCUCAUAGCGUAAAAUGCGUUGCAGGGCUUCUGUGGAAGGCAGAGAAUCGAGCGAAAGAAGCAGGGAGUGGAAAGACAGAGUCGAAACAUUGUUGGUGUUCUUGUUGGUUAUAAUGAUCAAGUUGGCGAUGAAAUCGAUUAGCUAACAGGGAGUAGUGUCAGUGGUUGAAUCCAUCGCCCAUGCGCUCCGCUGAAUGACAAAACCAUGUGCCGU